CAUCGGGACCUCCUCGAGAGGUUUCGGUGCUGCAGGGAAGCCGAAGAGUGUGCUACCUGGGAAGUAUAGUCGCAAGGCCGAAACUUAAAGGAAUUGGCGGGGAGACACUACAACGGGUGACGCGUGCGGUUCAAUUAGAUUAUACACCGUGAACCUCACCAGGACCGACAGCAGAAUGAAGGUCAGUCUAAAGGGCUUACCUGACACGCUGAGAGGAGCUGCAUGGCCGACGUCAGCCUGUGCUGUGAAGUGACCUGUUAAAUCAGGUAACAGGCAAGACCCACAUGCAUAUUUACUACUGAACUAUAUGCAGAUUGCUCUGGUAACAGAGAUGAAAGUGUGGGCUACGUUAGGUGAGUACAGCCCGACCGCCCUGGGCAACACGCGCGCGUCAAUGGCGAAUACAACGGGAUGCAACACCGAAAGGUGGAGCUAAUCUCUUAAAGUUCGUCUCAGUCCAGAUUGAGGUUUGUAACUCAGCCUCAUGACGCUGGAAUCCGUAGUAAUCGUUUGUUAGCAGCGAACGGUGAAUAUGUCACUGUCUCUUGCACACACUGCCCGUCAAACCAACCGAGUUUAUUUAUGGUGAAACAUUCGUGGAAAACUUUGGGUAGACAAGCUAGGUUAAGUCGUAACAAGGUAGCC
rnacentral:rRNA from 1 species